CUCGGGGGCGGGGUUUCCGGGUUCGCGCAUGCGCCUUCGUGCGUUUUUCCCCAUGCUGGUUCCGCGAUCCCGGCCUUAGGUGUCUCUCGUCUGGGGGUCGGUCCGAGCUGUCUCGGCUGCAGUGAUGGUCAAAACUGCCGACUCUCCGGGUUCGGAAGCCCGACCCGACCCGGUGCGGAGCUUCAAUCGCUGGAAGAAAAAACACAGCCACAGGCAGAACAAAAAGAAGCAGUUGAGGAAGCAACUGAAGAAACCCGAGUGGCAGGUCGAGCGCGAGGAUAUCAGCCGCCUCAUGCUGAACUAUGAGAAGAUAAAUGUAAACGAAAUUACAAGGUUUUCAGAUUUUCCCUUGUCCAAAAAAACAUUGAAAGGUUUGCAAGAAGCUCAGUACCGUUUGGUAACUGAGAUCCAGAAGCAGACCAUUGGAUUGGCUUUGCAAGGUAGAGAUGUACUUGGAGCGGCUAAAACUGGAUCUGGCAAGACCUUGGCUUUCCUUGUUCCAGUACUGGAAGCCUUAUAUCGUCUGCAGUGGACCUCAACAGAUGGGCUGGGGGUUCUCAUAAUAUCACCUACGAGAGAACUGGCCUAUCAGACUUUUGAGGUUCUCCGAAAAGUAGGAAAGAAUCAUGACUUUUCAGCUGGUCUCAUCAUUGGUGGAAAGGAUCUGAAACACGAAGCUGAGAGGAUCAACAACAUAAAUAUACUUGUGUGCACACCAGGUCGGCUUCUUCAACACAUGGAUGAAACAGUGUCUUUUCAUGCUACUGAUCUCCAGAUGUUAGUUCUCGAUGAAGCAGAUAGAAUCUUGGAUAUGGGCUUUGCUGAUACCAUGAAUGCUAUUAUUGAAAAUCUCCCCAAGAAACGGCAGACUUUACUUUUCUCAGCAACACAAACUAAAUCUGUGAAGGACCUUGCACGUUUGAGUUUGAAAAACCCUGAGUAUGUCUGGGUUCACGAAAAAGCAAAAUACAGCACCCCUGCCACUUUGGAACAGAACUACAUCGUUUGUCAGCUGCAGCAAAAAACAAGCGUGCUGUAUUCCUUUCUGAGAAGCCAUCUGAAGAAGAAGAGCAUUGUAUUUUUUUCCAGUUGCAAAGAGGUCCAGUAUCUGUACGGAGUGUUUUGCCGGCUACGUCCUGGUGUUUCUAUCCUUGCCCUCCAUGGCCGACAGCAGCAGAUGAGAAGAAUGGAAGUCUACAACGAGUUUGUCCGUAAGAGAGCUGCGGUGCUCUUUGCUACUGACAUUGCAGCCAGGGGCCUGGAUUUCCCAGCCGUGAAUUGGGUUCUUCAGUUUGAUUGUCCUGAGGAUGCCAACACAUAUAUUCACAGAGCAGGCAGAACCGCCAGGUACAAAGAGGAUGGCGAAGCUUUAUUAAUUUUGCUUCCCUCAGAAAAAGCUAUGGUGCAACAACUUCUUCAGAAGAAAGUACCCGUGAAGGAAAUCAAAAUCAAUCCAGAGAAACUUAUAGAUGUCCAGAAAAAGUUGGAAUCUUUUUUAGCUCAAGAUCAAGAUUUGAAAGAAAGAGCUCAAAGGUGUUUCGUCUCCUAUAUACGAUCAGUAUAUCUGAUGAAGAAUAAAGAAGUAUUUGAUGUGAGCAAGUUACCUAUACCUGAAUUUGCCCUGUCUCUUGGUCUCGCUGUGGCACCACGCAUAAGAUUUCUUCAGAAAAUGCAGAAGCAACCCACCAAAGAAUUGGCAAUCAGCCAAGCUAAUAAAGUCAUUGAGCCGCGGGCUCCCUCCCUCACCAAUGACGAAGUGGAAGAAUUUAGAGCCUACUUCAGUGAGAAAAUGUCCAUCCUUCAGAAAGGUGGACAAAGACUUGAAGGGAGAGAGCACAGACAGGCUAACGAUACUAGUGAUGAAGAACAGGAAGAGGAGGAGGAGGAAGAAGAAGAAGAAGAAAUGGAAGAGAAACUGGCAAAAGUAAAGGGAUCUCAACCUCCAUCUCUUCCUAACACUAGUGAGGCACAGAAGAUCGAGGACGUUCCUACGCAGUUCCUGGACAGAGAUGAUGAGGAAGAUGAUGUUGAUUUCUUGAAGGUGAAGCGGCACAAUGUGUUUGGAUUGGACCUUAAAGAGGAGAAAACAUUACAGAAGAAAGAACCUUCUAAAUCCAGCAUCAAGAAAAAAGUGACCAAAGUUGCAGAAGCCAAAAAAGUAAUGAAGAGAAAUUUUAAAGUGAAUAAGAAGAUAACGUUUACUGAUGAAGGGGAGCUGGUUCAGCAGUGGCCACAAAUGCAGAAAUCGGCCAUCAAGGAUGCUGAGGAAGAUGAUGACACAGGUGGCAUCAACUUAGAUAAAGCAAAGGAAAGACUUCAGGAAGAGGACAAAUUUGACAAAGAAGAAUAUAGGAAGAAAAUUAAGGCAAAGCAUCGGGAGAAAAGACUGAAAGAAAGGGAAGCCAGGCGAGAAGCCAACAAGAGACAAGCAAAGGCCAAAGAUGAAGAGGAAGCCUUUCUGGAUUGGAGUGAUGAAGAUGAUGGUGGAUUUGAUCCAAGCACACUCCCAGAUCCAGAUAAGUACAGAAGCUCCGAAGAUUCAGAUAGUGAAGAUACGGAAAGCAAAACUAGCACCUAGCCCAGUGCCUGCCACAUAGGAAGUGCCUACCAUCAUGUGCGUGUGUGGAUAAAUGAAUGAUGAAUGAGAGCUGCUCAUUCAGCCUGACUACACCAAGCACUAUCUGUGUGAAGCCAUUUGCACCCAUUAUCUCCUUUAAUCUGGGCAGAAUUUAAUCCUUCGAUUCUGACGGGAUGGUAUUUUAGCCAAUUCUACAGGUAAGGAAACAGGCUAAGUGACUUACUUCCCGAUGACACAGAACCAGGAUUUGAACCUGGGCUAUCUAAGUCCACAGCUUGGCCUCUGUCCCACAGCCUCUUCCCUGCACAGCCUCAGCUGAAGGUGGCUGUGGUUGGCAGAGCAGCCAAUGGCUGACCACAGUGGGGACGGAAGAUCUCUGCACAGGGCAUGGACCUGUGGGACUCUGAGAGCUACGUCUCCAGGCCUUGGUUCACCUUGGAAGACUUAAUGGCGGAGACACAGGGCUCCCAGCAGUGGGGAGAGGGUGUGCUCUCCCUGACGGUGCCAUGGGCCAUGCCCAGUGUGUACUAUUUGAUGAAAAAAAGGACAGCCUGGAAAAGUCCACAAGGACCAGAUGUCUGCUCUGCCCCUGUGCCUUAAACCUCAGAACUGCCUUCAGCCUAGCGUCACUCCCAGUGUGCUGAGGCCUCUAGCAGUCAGUCUGGCUACUCGGGAAGGAUUUUGAGCCUCCAUUUCUGAUGAUUCCUUAAGCUUUGCUGCCAGCUCCUCAUCUCAGAGCUCCCAUAAGUGCACGGGCAAAUCAGCUGAGGCCCCACCAUUCAGAGGGAGCUGUAAGCUGCUUCUCUGCAAAGAAGGCACCAAAGGGAUGAGGAAGAAAAGGAGGGGGGUCUCAGCUGUCUUCUGAAGAGUGAGCACUCCAGGAGAAUGGAAACCGCUGCCUGCAUAGCCGCCUUGCCACCCAGCUCUUCAGACUGUGCCCCCAGCUGGGUAAAGUAAACGCCCUUGGACAUUAUUGAGGCAACUGUGAAGGAUGCCUUCGACGUGCAGGCUGGGAAACGAAGCCGGCCAGGUUAUUGUAAAUCAGAAACAAAGCAAAUUUACAAAUCAAAGGGCAGGAUGAGCGUGGGUCUAAGUGAAGGGCAAGAGGACUGGCCUUGGAAUGCAUUAACUUUGGAAAAACCUCUUCGGGAUGUCCCUUGCUUGCCAUGACUGCUACCAGCACUUUGUCAUUCACUGCCUGGAUGGCCAAGGCUGAGUCACAGCUGCACGUGGGAAGGAAGAGCGUGGAGGAGGAGGUCGGGGCGCGCUGUUGGAGCUGCAGGCGGCAAGUGGUCCCGGCUGCAACACAUCCCCCAGGCAAGAGCUUCAUCCACAACCUCACCUAACUGUAAGGGAAGCUAAGUGGGCAAAUGUGGCAUGGCUGGCCACCUUGUGCCUGGCUUUCAUUCUACUCCUGUGCAAAAAGGGAAGAGUGGAUUUUGGUGGACCGGCCUCCUUCACUGUUGGUGUUGUCAGAGCCAAGCGAAGUCACAGCAAGCAGUGGGACGAGGAAGCAGAGGAGAGAGGAGGUGAAGAAUGGAAGCCGCUGCUAGCAUCGUUCAACCAGGGUGACUUGUUUGAUGCAUCAGAUGAUGGUCCCCAGUGCAGGGACGGAUGAUGUGCUGGUGAGCUGAGCACUCCUGUUCAUAUUCCUGAUGUGCCAGCAUCACUGCCUUCUCUCCCACGCAGAAAGGAGUAUCAGAAUUCAAGUUAAUAUGACAUCAUUCAGAGGAGCCUGGAUUUCGGCAGCAGAGUCUUCACUCAUCUCACCAUCCCCAGUCUAUUAUCCACUCCACAGCCAGAUGAACCUUCUAAACCAAAUCAAAGCAGCUCCCUUACCUGCUUCCAGCCCUUUAGAGGCUCUCUGUUGUUCUGUGGAUAAGGUUGAAAACCUUUCUCUGGAGUCACUCUGUCCUUUGUAAUAGGGCCUCUGCCUCCUUCAGCAGCCUGAUGCUUUGCCCUUCUCCAGCUGCGCUGGUUGUAUUAGCUCUUGGGUAUAAAGAAUCUUUCUCUCCUGCCUCAGGGCCACCUUGAGCAGUCUUCCCCUUGUUCUUCUCCUGGAUGACUCCUCCUCCUCCUUCAAGAUCUCUGAGUAAACAUCACUUCCCCACGGGGACUUCCUGUCUCCCCGCGAUCUGCAGAACACACCUGUGCUAUACAUUUUCAUACCCCUUGCAUGUUCAUAUGGCCUACAAAACACGCGGCUCCUCAUGUGAUAACAUCUUCUUCAUUUAAUAAUAGAGAACUCUGAGAGGCUUCACCUCUCUCUGUCUUGUUUGAGCCUGAGUUAAAUGGGUGAGGAAAUAAAGCAUUCGGUUCUUCAGUCACGGUGUAAUUAUUUCCAAUGGUGCGCUUUAGAACCAGGUGCAAGUUAUCUUGGGAAUGGUUACCAGCGAAAGGAGAGAGGCUCUUCUCUCCAAGAAGACCGUGAAAAGAUGAGCAAAGCCUUCACUGACCUUGAGGGAGACGCCUGAGUUCUGGAUACAGAAGCUAAAAUAGGUAGGAAUCAGAUAUUUCAGAAGGUGCAAA